GACAGAUGAGUAGUAACAGUGGAGGAGAGGCUGGAGUAUGGGCUCAUCAAGGGUAUAGAUAAGUAUGUGGUAGAGGACACAGAGGAGGCGAGGUCCCAGGCUGAACUCUAUCCGAGGCCCCUACACGUCAUCGAGGGGCCCCUGAUGAACGGCAUGAAGGUGGUGGGAGACCUGUUUGGAGCUGGGAAGAUGUUCCUACCUCAGGUGAUAAAGUCAGCACGUGUGAUGAAGAG